rnacentral:rRNA from 1 species
AAGGCCUACCAAGACAAUGCUGCAUCGCCGACACCCAGACUGACCUUGCACAUUGUUACUGAGACAGCUAGCGCUCUACCGGAGGCUGCCGCGGGAAUCUUCCCCAAAGGGCGAUCCCUGAUGGAGCUACGCCGCGUGUGUGAUGAAGGCUUUCUGGUCGUAACGCAUUGUUGUAUGCCAAAAACACCUACAAUAAGAAAUGAUUUUAGUUUGACGGUACCAUACCAGAAAGGGACGGCUAAAUACGUGCCAGCAUCCGCGGUAAUACGUAUGUCCCGAGCGUUAUCCGGAUUUAUUGGGCGUAAAGCGAGCGCAGACGGCUUAUUAAGUCUGAUGUGAAAGCCCGGAGCUCAACUCCGAGAAUGGCAUUGGAAACUGGUUAACUUGAGUGCACUAUAGGUAAGUGGAACUCCAUGUGUAGCGGUGGAAUGCGUACAUAUAUGGAAGAACACCAGUGGCGAACGCGGCUUACUGGACUGCAACUGACGUUGAGGCUCGAAAGUGUGGGUAGCAAACAGGAUUUAGAUACCCUGGUAGUCCACACCGUAAACGAUGAACACUACGUGUUAGGAGGUUCCCGCCUCUUAUUGCCGAAGCUACGCAUUAAGUGUUCCGCCUGGGAGUACGACCGCACGUUGAAACUCAAAGGAAUUGACGGUGACCCGCACAGCCGUUGCACCAUGUGGUUUAAUUCUAACCACGCGAAGAACCUUUACCAGGUCUUGACAUCCUUUGGAAGCUUUUAAAAAAUAUAAUUGUUCUCUUCGGAAACAAAGUGACAGGUGGUGCAUGGUCGUCGUCAGC